rnacentral:rRNA from 1 species
AUUGAACGCUGGCGGCAGGCUUAACACAUGCAAGUCGAGCGGGGUGAUGGUGCUUGCACUAUCACUUAGCGGCGGACGGGUGAGUAAUGCUUAGGAAUCUGCCUAUUAGUGGGGGACAACAUCUCGAAAGGGAUGCUAAUACCGCAUACGUCCUACGGGAGAAAGCAGGGGAUCACUUGUGACCUUGCGCUAAUAGAUGAGCCUAAGUCGGAUUAGCUAGUUGGUGGGGUAAAGGCCUACCAAGGCGACGAUCUGUAGCGGGUCUGAGAGGAUGAUCCGCCACACUGGGACUGAGACACGGCCCAGACUCCUAAGGGAGGCAGCAGUGGGGAAUAUUGGACAAUGGGGGGAACCCUGAUCCAGCCAUGCCGCGUGUGUGAAGAAGGCCUUAUGGUUGUAAAGCACUUUAAGCGAGGAGGAGGCUCUUUUGGUUAAUACCCAAGAUGAGUGGACGUUACUCGCAGAAUAAGCACCGGCUAACUCUGUGCCAGCCGCCGCAGUAACAC